rnacentral:rRNA from 1 species
AGCAGCCGCGGUAAUUCCAGCUCCAAUAGCGUAUAUUAAAGUUGUUGCAGUUAAAAAGCUCGUAGUUGAAUUUCGGGGUUUAUCCGUUGGUCGGGCUCUUUGGUCUGUACUGGCGUGAUGGAUUCCUACCUUCUGAAUAACCAGCAUGUCAUUAAUUUGGUGCGUUGGGGAAGCAGGACUGUUACCUUGAAAAAAUUAGAGUGCUUAAAGCAGGCUAUUGCCUGAAUACAUUAGCAUGGAAUAAUGAAAUAGGACGCAUGGUUCUAUUUUGUUGGUUUCUAGGAUCACCGUAAUGAUUAAUAGGGAUAGUUGGGGGCAUUAGUAUUCAAUUGUCAGAGGUGAAAUUCUUGGAUUUAUUGAAGACUAACUUCUGCGAAAGCAUUUGCCAAGGAUGUUUUCAUUAAUCAAGAACGAAAGUUAGGGGAUCGAAGACGAUCAGAUACCGUCGUAGUCUUAACCAUAAACUAUGCCGACUAGGGAUCGGACGAUGUAAUUUUUAAUGACUCGUUCGGCGCCUUAC